rnacentral:rRNA from 1 species
GCUCAGAUUCUUUUGCAGCGCUUACUGCGCGGCGAAAAACCUUACACACAGUGAUUUCUUUCUUUGAAAACACUGUACUGGUCUGGCGUAAGUUGGGCCAAAGGUUUAUUAAACUUCAAUUUUAUAUUGAACUGUUAUUUUAACAUAAGUCAAUUUGUUGAUUAAAUUCAAAAAUCUUCAAAACUUUCAACAACGGAUCUCUUGGUUCUCGCAUCGAUGAAGAACGCAGCGAAUUGCGAUAAGUAAUAUGAAUUGCAGAUUUUCGUGAAUCAUCGAAUCUUUGAACGCACAUUGCGCCCUUUGGUAUUCCAAAGGGCAUGCCUGUUUGAGCGUCAUUUCUCUCUCAAAUCUUCGGAUUUGGUUUUGAGUGAUACUCUUAGUCGGACUAGGCGUUUGCUUGAAAAGUAUUGGCAAGAGUGGUACUUUAGGUGCUAAACUGUUUCAAUGUAUUAGGUUUAUCCAACUCGUUGAAUGCAAUUUAGUUACUUUAGGGUGCUUAGGCUCGGCCUUACAACAACAAACAAAGUUUGACCUCAAAUCAGGUAGGAUUACCCGCUGAACUUAAGCAUAUCAAUAAGCGGAGGGGGGAACAUUACAGUAUUCUUUU